GCAAAAUGGAACAGCAAAAGUGCAGUAUGGCACUUCUUUAUCUGAUGCAGAUUGGUUACAUUGAGGUGCCGAAUCACUACUCACUUUGGCCAACUUAUUUAUAGUUCUAGGCUUGAGAAGAGCCCUUAGGAAAGCAAAAGAGACAAAAGAAAGCACAACAGUGGGGAAUCUAGAAGAGAAGUCUUCUGUAUAGAUGUAAUUAUCGGAUGGCUGAAUCAGAUGUAUUUAUUCACUCAUACUAUAAUUUAAUAGAAACAAUGUUAGUACAAUUUAAAGAUUGAAGGACAUCAAAGAGAUUGGAGGAGGUGUCUGAUAUGGCUGCACAUAAAGGAUGAGAGAUUGCAGACAAGGGGAAGGAUCCAUCUGAGGAAUUAGAGUCACGGAGAAACCACUAAGGGUUCGUGUUGGUGAGAAGCUCAUUGGCAUGGAGCAUCGCAUGGAUGCCGUCAUCUCCUCCCUCUGAAUAGUUAGAAUAAGAUGCUUGAUGUGGAGUUGGAGGAACUUACAUGUUUUAUA